rnacentral:tmRNA from 1 species
GGGGAUGCAUUGCAUCGACAGGAUUCGCACUUUAAAAACUGCAAGCCGGCUUUGAUUAGUAGCCGUAAAACAUAAUCAAAAAUUAAAUGCUAGAAACAGCAUUUCAGCCUUAAGGGCGGAAAGAGAUUCAAUUCUCGCCGAACUUUUUGGCGUUCGACAACCCGCUUACGCACUAGUUGCUUAAGUAAGUUUUGAGCUGUUCAUAAUGUCUUUUCUCAAUGGGGCAAUAUGAGCAUAAAUACAGUUGAGAAAUUAAUAAGGAAGCCGAUUAGCUCCUUAUCGAAUUUAUAAUCUUGGUUUUAUUUAUUCCCUUCUAUUGGAAAAGAAUAAAGCGACUCUUAAAAGUAGAAUAAGCUUGUAGAGGUUUUUAAAAUGUUUUCUUGGACUCCGGUUCACUGCCGGACAUCUCCACCG